UGGAUUAGUUGAAAUACAUGCUUUUUGUGUUUUGUGACAAUCCCAUAUUUUUCUUAAAAAAUGCCUCUCUCUAUCUAUACAUGUAUAUAUAAUGUUUGAGUGUGUGUGUGUGUGUGUGUGUGUGUGCAUGACAGAAAGAGAGAGAGAUGUUUUUUUUCCAA
rnacentral:sRNA from 1 species